UACGUAGGGUCCGAGCGUUGUCCGGAUUUAUUGGGCGUAAAGAGCGUGUAGGCGGCUAGAUAGGUCCGUUAUGAAAACUCGAGGCUCAACCUCGAGACGUCGAUGGAAACCAUCUGGCUAGAGUCCGGAAGAGGAGAGUGGAAUUCCUGGUGUAGCGGUGAAAUGCGCAGAUAUCAGGAAGAACACCCGUGGCGAAGGCGGCUCUCUGGUACGUGACUGACGCUGAGACGCGAAAGCGUGGGGAGCAAACAGG
rnacentral:rRNA from 1 species